UCUCCAGACCAGCCCAAAGGGGAUUCACCCGAACCCAGGGGUCAUCCCAAACCCGGGGUUCACUCCAGCCCCGGAGGAUUCACCCGAACCCAGGGGUCAUCCCAAACCCGGGGGGUCACACCAACGCGGGGAUUCACUCCAGCCCCGGCGGAUUCACCCAAACCCAGGGGAUUCCUCCAAAAGCACGUGUUUCAUCCCAAACCCACGGGAUUCGUCCCAAACCCUGGGAAUCAGCCUCCACUAAACCUGCUCUCUUUAAGUGCCUCACUGGAAUGGAUGAUCACCAAAAUACCAGAUCUCCAGGACAUCCAAGGAGUGCAGCUUUAACAUUCCAGUUUGGAAUAGCCUGGAAUGCACUUCAUCCUCAAAACAAUACUCAUGGCUAAGCUCCCCAACCUCCUCCAGAUUUAAUGACAGAAACCUCUUUGUCAGUCUACUAAAGUACACUUUUCUUCCCCA